UACGGAGGGGGUUAGCGUUGUUCGGAAUUACUGGGCGUAAAGCGCGCGUAGGCGGAUUAUACAGUAGAGAAAUCCCGGGGCUCAACCCCGGAACUGCCUUUGAUACUGGUAGUCUUGAGUUCGAGAGAGGUAAGUGGAAUUCCGAGUGUAGAGGUGAAAUUCGUAGAUAUUCGGAGGAACACCAGUGGCGAAGGCGGCUUACUGGCUCGAUACUGACGCUGAGGUGCGAAAGUGUGGGGAGCAAACAGGAUUAGAUACCCCGUGUC
rnacentral:rRNA from 1 species